rnacentral:tRNA from 1 species
UGGGGUAUAGCUUAGCAGUAGAGAGCUUGCCUUGCAUUCUUGAGACCCUGAGUUCAAUCCUCAGUACAGCAA